GGUCUCUGGCUUCAUUGCACUAACGUGUAAAUCUUUCGCCUUUUACUAAAGAUUUCCGUGCCCCAGAAAUUGUCUUAGCUAAUUUAAAACAAUGGCUAUGAAUUCUUAAAAGUAUUUUUUUGUAUUUU
rnacentral:snRNA from 1 species